AAUUAAAAAGCUUCCUCAGUUCUAUACACCUGUAUCUAGGUGUACGGUUAGUGGUGCCAUUUUUUUCCCCUUUCCCCGUUCCUUUUUUAUUUUUGUGUCACAAAAUUAAUAUAACUGACAACACACUACCGCACAGUAGGUGGCGGCAUGCUCAAACAAAAUGAGCGAACGCCAUGAUACCAAAGAAGAAGACGUUGGCGGGCGCAGCAAUGUAAUUAAUCAAAUUUGCAGAUGGCUGUAACAUUAUAUGCCAUGUAGAUUACAUCAGUGUUUCAAACUAAUUGUAGGCUACUUAAAUUUAACAUCCGGAUGACAAAUGCGUAGGAUUUUGAAGUGGCUUUCUUUAAUCUGUAAACAAACCAGAAAGUCCUCACCUGGUUUUGGAGGAAUAAUUGUCUGGACUGGAUGGAUAACAGAAGGCAGGAAGGGGCGCGGCCACGUGUGUCUCAAACGUCAAGUACUACCUACCAACAUGUUAAUUCCAAACGAAUGGAAUGAUGAAUUAUAUUACAUUCCCGACCCAUAUUUGGACCUGCUCAUCAUCAUCAGCCUCAGUAGUCACUGGCUAGAUAUUCAGUCAGCUUUAUAAACAAGUGGUUAGGAUUAGGAGGGGGCACAUUGGAGCUCUUUUCCCUUUUGAGCCCUAUACCCUCUUUGUCUGUUCCUAUGGGACACUUCACAAUCACAUCAUGUUCCUAAUUAUGCUCAAUGGGACCUUGGGCCUUGAUCCUUUGUCCCUUGUGGUCCUGUAUCUUUUGGACCCACCCAAAGGGAGGAUGCCGCACAAGACAAAGUUAGCACAUCGUCUGCCAAUGUAGUCCUACUGUACUCUGCUGAUACAUUUUGUAAAUCAGGAGCAGUAGAGCAUCUGAAGUGAAGCCUGCCAUUCUUCCCCCGAGGGUAAAGGAUUUACAGUUAAUACUAGUCGGACAAUGCAUCAAAAGCCAUUCAUACACCAUGCAGUAUAAACCACCCUAGCAUACACUGAACUUUAAUACAAUGUAGGCUAAUGUAUAUUUAAUAAGUUACAUUAUUUAAAAAAAACUUUGUAGAGAUUGAUCUGGGUCACAAAACCACAUUUGAUUAAAAAGGUUUGCGAGAUGGAUAUGUUUGCAGCUUUGGUUGCUCAAUAGUACAUUCACAAUUCACACUCAAUAAACUGAGGCAGAUAGAUGGGCUACACCAAAGCAAACAGCCUACAGCAACCUGUUUCAACUGCAUGUCAAAAAAAUGAUUCUCUAUAGCUGUUUGUUCAUUUUUCAAGCUAACAAAAUAAACCUAGGUGGAAUUAUGAAAUAGACUAGGAUAUGCCAUGCAGGAUAUGCCUUGCAGUGAGAAAUGUAACAAGUGAUACUACUGUUAAGGGUAACAUCAAAUGAUACUGUAAUCAUGAUUCGGGUGAAUAUUCCAUACUAUGUGAUUGCUAUUUGCAGUUUUACUGUGGCCUUAGAAGAUACGAACAACAUGUACAGUAGAUUUCCCAGCAUUCUGUACAGGUGGCUUAUUAACGAUUUGAUGACUUAAUAGCCCAUUGUUCAUGCUGUAUUCUCCAUAGUGCAAAGGCUGUUCAUUUUGUUGAAAGAGUUGACACGGUGGCCAGUGUCUGACAGAGCGUUUUAAGAAUGAUACCAGGACAAAGCAAGAGCAGGUGUGGUGUGAGUACAGUAUACCUGCUGGUCAUAGCAACUGUGAUAUGAAAGUAACUGUAAAUGUACCAUACCCAGCCAAAGAUUGUCUCUGUAUGAUUAUGCUGUGAUAUGAGAAUUAUUGCAGCAUUUACUCAAGCCCUUAAAUGAGAGGCCAUGAAGGAAACGAGAUGAGGAAAGGAAGUCAUUUUAUGUUUCUUUGAUUUUGAAACAGGAAUGUUACUGUAGGGGAUGUUCUGAAUACUUGCCUGUAAACCCAUCAAGUCCCCUCUUCCAUUAAUUGUUCAGGGCAAAAUUCUUAACCCUCAUUCUUGUAUGUAGUGCCACAGCAUUCAUUUGUAAAAUAAAUAAAUAAAAAUAAAAAUUGCUCAACAGAGUGCCUUGGGUUUUUUGCUGCCCUCUUGGAAUGCUAUAGGGGCAUGGAAAGAAAUAGUGAAAGAGGAUGAAAAAGAAAGGGCUGACUGCAGAGUUAACAUGCCUUUUGUUUCCUGUUAUGUCUCGUAAAGUUGCAUCCUGCCUGUUGACUGGAGGAGUGCCUCAGAGAGUUGGAGCAUUCACUCCUGGCCCUGGGUUUCAGCGGACCCACUUUGUGUGUUGGUUUUACAUCAAGAAACUGCCUUCAUCCAAACCCUGAAAUGAAGUCCGAUCUCUAAUUGUUUGCGGCUGUGAGGAUACCGGUAUCAUAAUAUUUUUUCAAAUGCAAAAAUGAGAGCACGAAGCAGACAAGUCUUUGGUCCUUUAAAACCUGAUAUAUGUAAAAUAUAGUUUGGAAAAUAAAUAAAUGUGAUUCUGGAUGACAUAAUGUUUGUUUCCAAAAUUAGUGCUGUUUUCCUAAAGAAGUAAAA
ensembl:lncRNA